GAUCCUAAUGUCAUUGGUAUUGGUUACAACACCGUCAUUCUUAAGUGCUAUCAUCAACUGAAAAGUUUAUCAGCUACAGCAGAAUAUAACUUUGACUUAAAGCCAGCUCCAAAAAUACCUAUAACUGUUCUUCAAUGUAAUCUAAACUUAUCUCAAGGCAGUGCUCCAUACACUGUUGCUGUUAGUAUUAAUUGCAAUAGAGAAGCUACCACUAACUGUUCAAUAGCCAGCCUACCAUCUCACCAAUGUAAUGGUUCAUAUAUCUGUUCAGAUUAGAGGCUCAUGAUCAAUAUGGCUACACAUGCUUCAUUGUAUCAGUGUUCACUGUUCAACCAAUUGACAGAAUAUGUUGUCCUGUAAUAUUAAGGAACAGUGCAAGACUAUUAGUAUUUAACUCUACCAAUACAUCUAGCACCAGCAUUCAAUCAUCAUCUAAUGGAGUUAGAAUGGUGACAUUCAGUACUGAUAUCAGCUCUGGGAACUGUUCAUUAACUGAAGGAUU